CAAAACCUUAAUGUUUCAUUCCCAAUAAUAUCAGUCUCCUCUCUCUCUCUCUCUCUCUAAAUGAUAUCACCAUCACCGACCGCCUUUGGCCGGUGGACCACUGUGACCUACCACCCUUCCUCUUCUCUCUUCUUCACAGUUGCCGCUGCUCCACCAGUGGACCGGCGAACUCCACCUAACCUUUUCUCUUUUCUCCUCCCUCUUCACCCUAAAUCGCUGCUGUUCCACCAUUUUCUGUCCGGCGGUCCAUCAAUCAACCACCAACAACACCAAGCAGACGAUGAUAUCACUGUUUCAAAGAAGAGACGAUGAUAAGUCUCACUUGCAAAUAGCAGCUUAGCUCCUCAGUGGGUUGAUUUCUUUGUCCCCGAUGCUCUUGUUGAUGAUGAUGCUUGGUUCUGUAGACCUGAGUGUAAUCCAAAGACAGUGGAAGAUUUCUAUAAGGUAGCUACCCCUUCCUCUUCCUCUUCUAAGAAUGAGUUUGAAAGAAAGAAACAAGAAAUAUUAGCUGCUCAAAGUGCAUCAAUUGUGGAAGGAGAAACUAAUUCAGUUAAGUCAGACUACUCAGUUGAGUGAAAUGGAUUUUUGGAUGCAACCUGUUGGUGGAAAGAAAAAAGAAAGAGUCAAAGGUCUUGGCUCCCUGGGUCGAAGUGUAAAUACAUCUAAGAAAUCAACAUCAACUUUGUUGAAUGAAAUAGAUGAGAUGAUUAAGUCCCAUAUUAAUGCUUCAACUACUGAUUUGUAUGCUCAGUUGCAGAAUGAGCGAUACAAAAAUAAGAGGAUGAGAAAUAAAUUGAACUUGUUGAAGAAGCAUGUAUACAAGAAAUCUUCUUCAAAUGAUGAAUGCCUAUCUCAAGAAGACAACUAAGAUUAUGAGGAUGAAAGUGAUGAUGACUUUAACGAUGUUAAUGAAAGUGAUUUUGACCUUGAUAACGUGAAUGAAAGUGAUUCUGACCCUGAUGGUUGGUAGUUUUAUUGAGGAUUCAAGUUUGAAAUAUUUUAUUUUGGACCAUUUAAGAAUCAUAUAUUAUUGGUGGAUGUUAUGAAUUAUAUUUUUUGUUAUUUGUAAUGGUUUACAUUAGACUUCUCUUGAAUGAUGUUUUUGCUAAUUAUUGGAGAUUUUGAAUA